GAAAGCUAGAACUUUCUCCUUUUUAUUUAUUUUUCAAGUUUUUGUUCAUAUUAAUUUUGACUCCUCUGCCCUACCUUCUCUGGGUUUUAGGAGAAUUCAAUUGAUAAGUUCAUUGUUAAUAGUAAGCAGCAAGUGCAUCGGAUGAACGGGGGGUGGCUCGGCACACCUUGAUUUCUUUCUUUCUCAAUCUAACGCUCUCGUGUUUCUUCUUGGGCACACUGAUCAGAGAGCAGGUUUUCCAUGACAUGAUGGUGGCGCCUAAUUUUGCUGGUCGUGUGUGCCGGAUAUCGCGAUGUCAGCAGAUCGGCAUGAAAUGCUGUCGAGAAGGGAGAAGGCCACAAACUUCAAACCAGACUAUGAUAUUGAUAUCCAUAUGAAGGUCUUAGCUAUGAGUGGGCAAGAAUCCAGUAUUCUUACAGGCUACAAACUGAAGUGCUGAUACGGUGGUAGGAAAUGAGAUGAUGAUGGGUAUUUUUGGUGCUUCAUUUGCAUGUCCAGUACCAUAGCUCAUAACCUGCUUGCCUCUAGGAAUGUUGCGAACAACGAUUUCACUGGUUAGAUUCCCAAUUAGCUUAAGAAGAUAAACAAUAUACAGACUGAUGGAAUUCUUGGAGCAAAGGACCAGC
rnacentral:lncRNA from 1 species